UACGGAGGAGGCAAGCGUUAUCCGGAAUUAUUGGGCGUAAAGCGGGCGCAGGCGGUUUUGUAAGCCGGAUGUGAAAUCCCCGGGCUUAACCUGGGAAUGGCAUUCGGGACUGCAAGGCUGGAGUGCGGCAGAGGAGACUGGAAUUCCUGGUGUAGCAGUGAAAUGCGUAGAUAUCAGGAGGAACACCGAUGGCGAAGGCAGGUCUCUGGGCUGACACUGACGCUCAUGCACGAAAGCGUGGGGAGCAAACAGG
rnacentral:rRNA from 1 species